UACGGGGGGAGCAAACGUUGUUCGGAAUUACUGGGCGUAAAGGGCGCGUAGGCGGUCCUGUAAGUGGUGUGUGAAAUCCGAUGGCUCAACCAUCGAGCUGCGCUCCAUACUGCAGGACUUGAGUACAGCAGAGGAAAGUGGAAUUCCAGGUGUAGCGGUGAAAUGCGUAGAUAUCUGGAGGAACACCGGUGGCGAAGGCGGCGUUCUGGACUGCAACUGACACUGAGGAACGAAAGCCAGGGGAGCAAACGGG
rnacentral:rRNA from 1 species